AGUGGCGGACGGGUGAGUAACGCGUGAGAAUCUGCCUUCAGGACGGGGACAACAGUUGGAAACGACUGCUAAUACCCGAUAUGCCGAGAGGUGAAAUGUUUUUUCGCCUGAAAAUGACCUCGCGUCUGAUUACCUAGUUGGGGGUGUAACGGACCACCAAGGCGACGAUCAGUAGCUGGUCUGAAAGGAUGAGCAGCCACACUGGGACUGAGACACGGCCCAAACUCCUACGGGAGGCAGCAGUGGGGAAUUUUCCGCAAUGGGCGAAAGCCUGACGGAGCAAUACCGCGUGAGGGAGGAAGGUCUUUGGAUUGUAAACCUCUUUUCUCAAGGAAGAAGUUCUGACGGUACUUGAGGAAUAAGCACCGGCUAACUCCGUGCCAGCAGCCGCGGUAAUACGGAGGGUGCAAGCGUUAUCCGGAAUUAUUGGGCGUAAAGAGUCCGUAGGUGGUCAUGCAAGUCUGCUGUCAAAGCCCACAGCUCAACUGUGGAUCGGCGGUGGACACUGCAUGACUUGAGUACGGUAGGGGUAGAGGGAAUUCCC
rnacentral:rRNA from 1 species